rnacentral:lncRNA from 1 species
UGAAUAAAUAAUCACUAACAUUGUGUCGACAUCAUCCUUCCCAUUUUCACUCCCACCCAGAGUGAGAACCAAAACAAAAGAUAUGACGAGUGAUGUGAUCAGAAAAGAAAUUUGAGAUGUCAAGUAAAAAUGAUGGAAUUGGGAUAUGGAAGAGAAAGUGGACUUUGUUGAUGAAUAAUUUGUAAAAAGACAACAAUGACAGAUAACUGAAUGGUAUUGUGCUGGUUUUGUUUAGCUGUAAAGAAACUUUUAAGCGUUUUGAUUCAUUCACACUCAUCUUUCUCUUCCAUCUCAUUUUCACUCACUUUUUCUUCCUAUCUCUCUUUUCUUUUCUCAUCAUGUAUCAUCUAUCAUAUCUCUAAUUUCUCUUUUUUUCUUUUCUUUCUCUCUAGAGUGCAAGUAGAAUAGGAGCCUCAAGGUAAACUUAUAGAACUUUUAAACCUAAACUUUAAAAAACAAGGAAUAAAUGGGGUAUGAUCAAACAAAAUAAACAAGUUUUAGUUCUGUUUAUGAUAAUUAGAGCAGACUACUGAUAUGAGAAAGGAAAAAAAAAAGAGUCAGCAUAACUAGAUUUGAAGUCCUCUUAACCAUAAUAUAUAUGCAGAAAACACUCUGUUAAUGAAAACAUAGGUGUAGUAUUACUUUUACUUUUACUUUUCCACCACAAGUGUCAUCCACAACAAGCUAUUAUGUUCGAGUCGGUAAAAUCCAUAUCAUAAUAGGAUUAGCUCAAGUGAGGGCGUUCAUAUCACAAUAAAUCUAGCUCUACUCGUCAACUUUUUCCAUUCUCAAGACCUGAAUUGAAGAACAGACUAACUCUAGUUUCGACCAUUCACAAGACUUGAACUCCACAACUUAUCAAAAGGGAAUCUCAGACAUGGACAAGAACCAACUAGCGAUUGGUAUUAUUGUAGUUUCUUGGAAAACGAAGCAUGAAUCUGAAAUUUAAAUAUUAAAACCGCCUAUAGAGAUCAUGUUUGACGGCUGAGAUUCAAUGUGAAGUUAUAUUGAACUCACUUAUAAAAACCAGCAUUGUUGAGGUACGUAAGAUGCUGAAUUUCCAUUGGUAUAUUAUGGAGAUAUGCCUUUGCUUAGCAGCGCAGGCUCUCCAGUCUCCAAGAUGAGAAAAAAUCAGAUUUCUCAAAGCAUGCCUCACGCAGGCAGAGUAUGGUUUCCCUUCAAAUAUUUCCUAUGCUCUCUCUCUCUCUCUCUCUCUCUCUCACUCUCUUUCCAUCCAUGUAUUCCUUUUCAUUUUUGUCGUCUACAUAAAAUACACUUCCAUUUCGGCUAUCCCAUUUCAUAUUUUGUAGCAAAAUUUUAUGUCCAUUUCCUUCUUGCAUUUUAAUUUCUAUAUAUGCUUUUAACAAACAAAGGAAAGUCUCUGAGUAGAAAUAGGUCAGACCGCUAGAACGGGCCUCAAUUGGGCUUAUAGAGGUAGCUCAUAUCUUACUGACGUGUUGGACUUAAAUAAAAAUAAAUAAGAUUAAAGUUUUUCUAAAAGCUUGUUUAAUUAAAAAGUCUAGCAACAGGUGCAUGGUUGGUUUAUAUGAUACAUAUCUGACUCUCUUUAAGUAAGAUUUUAGGUAUGAGUCUUGUGAAUUCAAAAAAAAAAAAAAAAACCCUACGAGAAAGUUAGCAUCAUCAUGGUGUGGGCGUUUCUAACUUGCUAUAAAUGCACCAAAAAACUAAAAAGUUCUUACAUAUACCAUUUGGAAAGUGUUUUCGGCCUAACAUGCUGACUUAAUCCUCCCCUUGUGCUUCUAGUUAAUGUUAUUUUUCUUGGCUAUAUAUAUAUAUAUAUAUAUAUAUAUAUAAUCUAGUUGAUAGUUUUAUAUUUGAAUAGUGUGUUAAGAGAAUGAUUAGUUAGAAGAUGUCUACUCAUUGAAUGUGAUCUUAAAAUCUUGAGAGAAUUAGUCUAUACCCUCUUAACUACAGGAUACCUUAGUGAAAAGAAGUAGCUUGAAAAUUAUAUAACUUACACCAUGUUAAAAACUCAGGUAAAUGAAACUCAAGUGUUUGGAAGUUCUUUUCAAAAAAGAAGUGUUUGGAAGUUGACCUUGACCCAACCUAUUUCCAUCUAGAAAAUGUGAACUAUAUUUAAUUUACUUUCUUGACCUAUUAGUCUUAAAAUAUAGUUAUUUUAUAAUUAAAAAAUGUGAUAAUUGUGAGAUCAGUUUGAAUUAAAAAUUUCAUUUGUCUUUCGUGGGUUGUCUCAGCUCAGCUCAGGUACAUGCACAAACAAAAUAAGUAGAGUCCUAAAUAUAAUUUUGGGCGGUAUGGUGGAACAUCUUAAAAUAUGGUCUUUCUAUGAACCAUGUUUUUACAACUAAUAUGCAAUACGUAAUAUUUACAAUAAAGUUUUUAUGUGCUAAAAUUAAUUAGUAAAAAAAAGUAAUUUUUACUCAUAUUUUCUCGGUCCAGUAAACAAAUCCAUAAACUUCUAUAUCUCAUAACAAACUUUUUAAUUACAAACUACUUUGUAUCCUAUUUUUUUGGUUUUCCUUAGACAAUUAAUCCAUACUUUCUUGUUUGUGGUUUGGCUUGUUUUGCAGAAAGAAAAUUGGAUAUUGAGGUACUUUGGAUCGAUGUAACUAGCUAGCUAGUUUGAUUAUGCGCUAUAAUCAAAUGUAAGUCUAUCAAAGAUUUACAAGGACACCUGCCCUUGUCAAGAGCCCAAAGUGGAUGGUUUGGGUCUACUUCACCCAAACUCUGAAAUUUCUCAUUCGUCUGAAACUAAAAAGCCAUAAUUAAGGUUAUUCCUACUUCUAUUGCUGCACCCUAAAAUGGAAUCCCCUCUAGUCCACAACUUAUUCGGUUUUCUAUCAAAGGGCUCCUUGGAGGUAUAUAUAAUUAUAUAUAGCCAAUUAUAAAAUAGCAUUUAUAAAGUUAAAAUAGUUUUAUAAUUAUAUAUUCUAGUAAAUUUGAUCAGUAAAUUUUUCUGCUUUCGAAAAAUAAUAUUUAUAUAUAGUAGUAAAUUUAAAAAACAGCCUUUCUAAUAAUUUAUUUUAGGGAAACUACAAUCACCUCUCCUGAGGUUUAACAUUAUUGCACUAACGACCUCUCAUUUAGUUUGCAAAAUGCAUUAAUCUUCCCUCUUUUACAUAUCAGUUUAAAUAAUACGGGGGCGUUGAGUGAUGGCUUUAACGUAAUUCUUCCCCUUUUGUAACGGACUUUCUUUUAAUAAAUGAUUAUCUUGUUUGUUCAAACAAAAAUAUUUUAAAUCUUAAGAGAUGUCAGUGCAAUAAUAAACCUCAAGAGUGCAAUGUUCUCAAUAAAAUAAGGUUGAUUAAUGUCUAAUUAAAUAAUAGAGGAGAGAUCAGUACAAUAAUGAUAAAUCUCAGGGAAGGUCAGUGCAAUUUACCCUUUAUAUUACUUCUUGUUUAAGAAAGAUAAAUCUGCAUUUUUUUCAAAAUAAAAGAUAAAUCUUUUAUUGUUGUCUAUAAUCAUGUUUGAGUUGUGAUUCAUUGACAUUAAUUUUCUCUUUCAUUUCCUUUUGGCCAAUUUUAUUUUCUAUUACUCAAUUCAUCAACUCUCAUUUAUAUCUCUUCUAUUUAUAUAUCUCUAUUGGGUCCAGUUCCGGAUGGCAUAUUUUCCAUCAUGCCUUUCUUCCUUUUAGUUAGUAGUUUCAUUUGCCUUCCGAAAAUUGUGUAAGGACUAAAUUUGAGAUCGAUUCUGGAGUUUCUAACUUUUACUGCUCUGAAAAACUCUAAUGCAUACAAUAUAAUUCAUAAAAAUAUAUAGUAAAAGUUUAAAUCUCUCUCAUAGCCAACCUCCAACUUUCAGAUCAAGAGAAUAGAUCUUAAAAGUAAAAAAUUAAAAUACAAAUUUGAUCAAAAUAAAAAUAAAAAUUAAUUCGUUGAGAAAUUUAGGAGAUGCAUCUAUGCAAACAAUAUAUGUUAAAGGAGUAAAAAUUAAGGAUGUUUAAUAUUCAUGUCCAGUAACUAAUUAAUUCAUUGAGUUUAUGAGAUUUAUCAUUAUUGUAUUGAUCUUCCCUCUAUUAGAUCUGACCUCACUUCCAACAAAACUACUUAUAAUUCCCACUUCAUUAUUUUAUAAGUAGGUAAGUGAGAGAGAUAGGUCGAAUGCAACAGAAACAAGAGUCAAGAGGUGUAUAACAUGCACCCUUUAAAGAAAUAUACUCCAUCUCUUCCAUAUGGAUGGAAUAAAUAGAUUUAGUCCAAGGAACAUUUGUUGCCACAAGGUCUACAAGUCCCAUGUGUGGCAUCUUUUCUCAUGGUUAGAAUUCUCUCCUUCUCAAACUAAGUGAGAGCAAAGAACUUCUUUCAUAUAUCUUUCGUUUAUAGAGACGGUUGACAUUUAAAUUUUUCUUUUCUUUGUAGAAAUAUCAUUGUUUUAGUAAAAAAAACAAAAUGAUCUCUUUGUGUAGAACACAUGCACCAUGCAUUUUUUUAUAACUAAAUCAGUUUUCAUCAGUUUACCUGUUUCCCCACUUUGCAUGAAGUUCCAUGAUGAGAAGCUGUUCCUCCGGUGUAAUAUUCCCUCUUCUAACAUCCGGACGGAGAUAGUUUAGCCACCGGAGCCGGCAACUCUUUCCGGUACGUUUAAGACCUGAGAAACCAUCAUGAUGAUGAAUCAUUCUCUCACACCCCUAGGGUUUUAGGAGGAUGAAGAAAAGAAAAGAAAGAAGAAGAUCUUCAAGAAUUAAAAAAACAAGAGAGCACUCAAUGAUGUAACAUGUAAUAAUUCUUAAUAAGAAAUAAACUUUUUGUUUUUUUUAUUUGUUUUUACCAGCAGCUUUAGCCAAGGAGUUCCAGACACCUUCACCAUGGUUUGCUAUAUAGUUGAUGAGGAUCAAGUCUUCUUCCAUUGUCCAUGGCCCCUUUCUCACUUCCGGAUCUUGAGAAGAGUUGCACAGUUUCUUGUCCAUUGUUUUUAUAUAGAGAGAGAAAGAAAAGUGGGUGAAGAGAGAUACUAGACAUGUUAAUUAUGGGGUUGGAGGGUUUAAAUAGAGUGAACACUAAGACAAUUUAUUAAUUCUAAUCAAAGUUUUCUACUAGAUAAAAGAGGUUUUUACGUACCUAACUAUGUGUGUCAUAUUAUCAUGCAUGCAUGACUAUGUGCGUCUCCAGGUAAACUAGAGUUUCAAGAAUAGUAUCUUAUAUCUGGCCCUUAAGUUGCGCACAUGCAAUCUGAGCACUAGGUGUCGAUGCAAUACAACAAUAGAGUUUCGACUCAUUCACACCGACGGUUGUGAUUUUUUUUUUUACCGCAAAAAUCGUCACAAUUUAUAGAGUAUCUUAAAAAAUAAGUACACUAUUCUAACAUUUUGAGAGCAUACAAACCACCACAAAAUUGGUGUAUUUAACGUCCUUUUUUCACUCUUCACAUUUAGCGGCUGUCAAAAAUUGGAUUCGGUUGAUCUAAUAAUAAUAUAUGAUAGUUUUUACAAUUUCUUUCAAUUUAAUUUCUAGUUAAUUUCUAUUUAUAUAUAUUUCUCUUCUUUUCUUAUCACAUCAUAUAUCUGUAAGGUUCAAAUGAGUUAUCACUAAAGGAGAAGAAAUGUUUUAAUGAUGACAAAACGACAAAGCUACUACUGAAAAUUAACAUGAAGAAUGAGAAAGGCCAAUGCAAAGCAAGGAGUAUGAAACCCUAAAGAAAAGUCAGUUGAAGUACACAAAACCAAGUGUUAUAUCCAUCAAGCAUUAACUUCAUCUUCUAGUAUCGUCUACACAAGCAUAGUCUGACCUAUAUCGUCCAAGAAGACAGUAUCCAUAGCUUGUAUCGUCUAGAGCUUCAUUGUCUUCCAGCUACAUACAAUGUUCAAGAACUCAAUCAUCUGACCAUAACGCUUAUGAAAAAUGGACUAAGAAAAAGAAAGAAAAAUCGUCCACUCAAGAAAGUGAAAUAAAGAGCUAAAUUUGUUCACACGUGACUUGCCUAGCUAGUCAGACAAGAGUACAAUAAUCAGAAGCAAAAGUACAAAGCUAUCAAGUCAUCAAAAAGCUAUGAAGCAUGCCUUUUGCCAAAAGGAGAAAGUUAUGCAUGGCACUUAGCAACCGGUCACGAAAGCUUUCUAGGGUCAACAAAGUUCUGAACACUCAUGGCUGAAAAUAAGUAACAAAAGUACAAUUCGCAGCUAUCAUGGACAAUGAAGACAUGUUGAAAGCUUACCUUUGUACUACCGAGUCUUCAUCUAUCUGACACAUGCUAGAACAAUUGUUCUUAUAGUACUUUUGGUAAGAACGAAUCUUGCCCACUCUCUAACAUCUACAAGAAGACCAUCUACAAACUACCUAGAUAGUUACAAGCCUUGCAACAGUCAUAUGAUGAAGACUAAGUAUAAAUGAAAUGAUGAUGAGAAAAAAAGAUCUAAGUGUGCUUGAGAUCUGUGAAUGAUAUAGUAAAAGAGAGACCGGUAGAGAAGAAGAUAGAGAUCAAGAGAAAAUGAAAAAGAUUGUGUGUGGAACAGAGUGAAGAAGAGAAGAUGAAAGAAAGAAGAUUGAAACAAUGAAAGACGACACACCGUGCACAAGUUGAGGGGGAGUAUACUCAAAUGAUCAUGAAGUACAUUUCCUACUUGCAUUUACACAUGUUGGAAUUGUUCAUCAAUACAAGAAGCAUGUAGUCAAUUCAUACAGCUCUUGGAAGCGGAGGUUCUACUUAAGCAAGACUAUGUAUUUGAAGACCUCAAGAGAAGAGAAAGAGUGGAGUAGAAGAAAACUAAGGAUAAAUUGAAAUAGAUAGAUUGUCUAUGCCUUGCUAUAAAAAGUAAGAGUGAUAAAAGAAAAACAAAAAAAAGACUCACAAGAAAAGAUACAAGUUCUAAGCCUUAGAGAGAAAAGUAGAAAGUGACUAUGAUCAUGUGGCUUCAACGUCUACUCUACUGGUUGAUCAAGUCAUAGAGAUUAGGAUUGAGAGCACUUUGAAUCCAUCAGCUCUAUCAUAUACAACUGGAGAUAAAUGUUUUUUCAGAUCUGUAAGCAUCUCUUAAGUAUGUAUGAACCGCACCUCAUGUAAACAAAAUAUGAUUCUUGUACAAUAAUACAUGAAAGGAUAAGUAUUAAGAAUACUUGUUAGUGCCUGAAGAGGCAUGAGAAUCAAAUACUUGUGUUUG